GGGUCAGUAGGUCGGUCGUGCCACUGGUAUGAACUGGUUUUACUGAUUCCUCCCUCUUGAAGAACUGUAAUGCCAUUAAUUUGGUGUUGCAGGGAAUCAGGACUGUUACUUUGAAAAAUUAGAGUGUUUAAAGCAGGCUUUAGCUUGAAUACAUUAGCAUGGAAUAAUGAAAUAGGACGUUUGAUCCUAUUUUGUUGGUUUCUAGGAUUGACGUAAUGAUUA
rnacentral:rRNA from 1 species